CCUACGGGAGGCAGCAGUAGGGAAUUUUCGGCAAUGGGGGGAACCCUGACCGAGCAACGCCGCGUGAACGAAGAAGUUAUUCGUAAUGUAAAGCUCUUUUAACAGGGAAGAAAGAGAAAUUUGACGGUACCUUUUGAAUAAGCUCCGGCCAACUACGUGACAGCAGCCGCGGUAAUACGUAGGGAGCGAGCGUUAUCCGGAAUUAUUGGGCGAAAGGGGUGCGUAGAUGGCAUAGUAAGUCUGUGGGAAAAAUGCUGGGCUCAACCCAGUAGGGCAAAAGAUACUGCAAAGCUAGAGUAUGACAGAGGCAAGUGGAACUACAUGUGUAGCGGUAAAAUGCGUAGAUAUAUGUAAGAACACCAGUGGCGAAGGCGGCUUGCUGGGUCGAGACUGACAUUGAGGCACGAAAGCGUGGGGAGCAAACAGGAUUAGAUACCCGGGUAGUC
rnacentral:rRNA from 1 species